AAGUCUGACCGAGCAACGCCGCGUGAGUGAAGAAGGUUUUCGGAUCGUAAAACUCUGUUGUUAGAGAAGAACAAGGACGUUAGUAACUGAACGUCCCCUGACGGUAUCUAACCAGAAAGCCACGGCUAACUACGUGCCAGCAGCCGCGGUAAUACGUAGGUGGCAAGCGUUGUCCGGAUUUAUUGGGCGUAAAGCGAGCGCAGGCGGUUUCUUAAGUCUGAUGUGAAAGCCCCCGGCUCAACCGGGGAGGGUCAUUGGAAACUGGGAGACUUGAGUGCAGAAGAGGAGAGUGGAAUUCCAUGUGUAGCGGUGAAAUGCGUAGAUAUAUGGAGGAACACCAGUGGCGAAGGCGGCUCUCUGGUCUGUAACUGACGCUGAGGCUCGAAAGCGUGGGGAGCAAACAGGAUUAGAUACCCUGGUAGUCCAAAA
rnacentral:rRNA from 1 species